rnacentral:rRNA from 1 species
CGGGGGGCAAGCGUUGUUCGGAAUUACUGGGCGUAAAGGGCUCGUAGGCGGCCAACUAAGUCAGACGUGAAACCCCUCGGCUUAACCGGGGAACUGCGUCUGAUACUGGAUGGCUUGAGUUUGGGAGAGGGAUGCGGAAUUCCAGGUGUAGCGGUGAAAUGCGUAGAUAUCUGGAGGAACACCGGUGGCGAAGGCGGCAUCCUGGACCAACACUGACGCUGAGGAGCGAAAGCCAGGGGAGCAAACGGGAUUAGAUACCCCGGUAGUCCUGGCCCUAAACGAUGAAUGCUUGGUGUGACGGGUAUCGAUCCCUGUCGUGCCGAAGCUAACGCAUUAAGCAUUCCGCCUGGGGAGUACGGUCGCAAGGCUG